rnacentral:rRNA from 1 species
UACGGAGGGGGCUAGCGUUGUUCGGAAUUACUGGGCGUAAAGCGCACGUAGGCGGCUUUGUAAGUUAGAGGUGAAAGCCCGGGGCUCAACCCCGGAACUGCCUUUAAAACAGCAUCGCUUGAAUCCAGGAGAGGUGAGUGGAAUUCCGAGUGUAGAGGUGAAAUUCGUAGAUAUUCGGAAGAACACCAGUGGCGAAGGCGGCUCACUGGACUGGUAUUGACGCUGAGGUGCGAAAGCGUGGGGAGCAAACAGG